rnacentral:rRNA from 1 species
GUGGGGAAUCUUGCGCAAUGGGCGAAAGCCUGACGCAGCCAUGCCGCGUGAAUGAUGAAGGUCUUAGGAUUGUAAAAUUCUUUCACCGGGGACGAUAAUGACGGUACCCGGAGAAGAAGCUCCGGCUAACUUCGUGCCAGCAGCCGCGGUAAUACGAAGGGGGCUAGCGUUGCUCGGAAUUACUGGGCGUAAAGGGCGCGUAGGCGGACAGCUUAGUCAGAGGUGAAAGCCCAGGGCUCAACCUUGGAAUUGCCUUUGAUACUGGCUGUCUUGAGUUUGGGAGAGGUGAGUGGAACUCCGAGUGUAGAGGUGAAAUUCGUAGAUAUUCGGAAGAACACCAGUGGCGAAGGCGACUCACUGGCCCGUUACUGACGCUGAGGCGCGAAAGCGUGGGGAGCAAACAGGAUUAGAAACCCGAGUAGUCC